CAGCAACAGUUCAAAGACAAACAGGAAAUCUGACCUGCAGGCCAGGCAACAAGGAGAAGCCCGCAGAGGAGACGCUGAAGGGAACUUCGGGGGGCGCGGCCUGGCUCUAACAUCACCAACCCUCGUCCCCACUUGGGAAAAUGCCGAAGAACCAAUGGGUAAAGUUUCCAGCAUUCAGGAAAAGAGAAGAACUAAAGCAAUUAUGUUAGGAGGAUUCAUUUCUCAGCAAUUUCUCU